CCUACGGGAGGCAGCAGUGGGGAAUUUUGGACAAUGGGCGCAAGCCUGAUCCAGCAAUGCCGCGUGCAGGAUGAAGGCCUUCGGGUUGUAAACUGCUUUUGUACAGAGCGAAAAGUCUCUUCUAAUACAGGGGGCUCAUGACGGUACUGUAAGAAUAAGCACCGGCUAACUACGUGCCAGCAGCCGCGUAAUACGUAGGGUGCAAGCGUUAAUCGAAUUACUGGGCGUAAAGCGUGCGCAGGCGUUAUAUAAGACAGAUGUGAAAUCCCCGGCUCAACCUGGGCACUGCAUUUGUGACUGUAUAGCUAGAGUACGGUAGAGGGGGAUGGAAUUCCGCGUGUAGCCAGUGAAAUGCGUAGAUAUGCGGAGGAACACCGAUGGCGAAGGCAAUCCCCUGGACCUGUACUGACGCUCAGGCACGAAAGGCGUGGGUAGCGAACAGGAUUAGAUACCCUGGUAGUCCACGCCCUAAACGAUGUAUACUCGUUGUUUGAGAGUAAUUUUGAGCGACCCAGCGAAAGCGUUAAGUAUACCACCUGGGGAGUACGCCCGCAAGGGUGAAACUCAAAGGAAUUGACGG
rnacentral:rRNA from 1 species